AGAGAGAGACAUGCGCGCAUAUCAAUAAGCGGAGGAAAAGAAACUAACUAGGAUUCCCUCAGUAACGGCGAGUGAAGCGGGAAGAGCUCAAAUUUGAAAUCUUCAAGGUUCUACCUUGACGAAUUGUAGUUUAAAGAAGUGUUUUCUGUUGAAGUUUUGGUAAAAGUUCUUUGGAAUAGGACAUCAUAGAGGGUGAGAAUCCCGUAUUUGACCAUUAUUUUCAGCUGUGUGAUACACUUUCAAAGAGUCGGAUUGUUUGGGAAUGCAGUCCAAAAUGGGUGGUAAAUUUCAUCUAAAGCUAAAUAUUGGCGAGAGACCGAUAGCGAACAAGUACCGUGAGGGAAAGGUGAAAAGAACUUUGAAAAGAGAGUUAAACAGUACGUGAAAUUGUCAAAAGGGAAGCGUUUGACACCAGUGUUGUUUUUCUGAAAAUCAAUUAAAGAACUGUUUAUGCUAAGUUGUUUAGACUUUAUCAGCUAACUGUUUAGUUUUGAGCUUUUCUUUAAUGCACUUUUCAGUUAACAAGUCAACAUCAAUUUCUUUUGCUGUAAAAAAGCUUGAGGAAGGUGGCUUGAGAUUCGUCUUAAGUGUUUAUAGCCUCUUGCCUAUGCAGUCGGAGAGAUUGAGGUCUGCAGCGUAGAUCCUUCGGGGCUAAAUGCAUUUGUGCUAAGUUAUAGCAUUUUAUAGACAACUUGUUGACUAAUGAUCUGUCAUGUAGCUUACUCGCUUAUGCUAUUUUACCUACGCUUAGGAUGUUGAUGUGAUACUGCGAGC
rnacentral:rRNA from 1 species